rnacentral:rRNA from 1 species
GACGAACGCUGGCGGCGUGCUUAACACAUGCAAGUCGAACGGAAAGGCCCUGCUUUUGUGGGGUGCUCGAGUGGCGAACGGGUGAGUAACACGUGAGUAACCUGCCCUUGACUUUGGGAUAACUUCAGGAAACUGGGGCUAAUACCGGAUAGGAGCUCCUGCUGCAUGGUGGGGGUUGGAAAGUUUCGGCGGUUGGGGAUGGACUCGCGGCUUAUCAGCUUGUUGGUGGGGUAGUGGCUUACCAAGGUUUUGACGGGUAGCCGGCCUGAGAGGGUGACCGGCCACAUUGGGACUGAGAUACGGCCCAGACUCCUACGGGAGGCAGCAGUGGGGAAUAUUGCACAAUGGGCGGAAGCCUGAUGCAGCAACGCCGCGUGCGGGAUGACGGCCUUCGGGUUGUAAACCGCUUUCGCCUGUGACGAAGCGUGAGUGACGGUAAUGGGUAAAGAAGCACCGGCUAACUACGAG